rnacentral:rRNA from 1 species
UUGAAACUGAAAUUCUUGAGUGAAGUAGAGGCAAGCGGAAUUCCUAGUGUAGCGGUGAAAUGCGUAGAUAUUAGGAGGAACACCAGUGGCGAAGGCGGCUUGCUGGACGACAACUGACGCUGAGGCGCGAAAGCGUGGGGAGCAAACAGGAUUAGAUACCCUGGUAGUCCACGCUGUAAACGAUGAAUACUAGGUGUGGGAGGACUGACCCCUUCCGUGCCGCAGUUAACACAAUAAGUAUUCCACCUGGGGAGUACGACCGCAAGGUUGAAAUUCAAAGGAAUUGACGGGGGCCCGCACAAGCAGUGGAUUAUGUGGUUUAAUUCGACGCAACGCGAAGAACCUUGACCAGGACUUGACAUCCAACUAACGAAGUAGAGAUACAUUAGUGCCCUUCGGGGAAAGUUGAGACAGGUGGUGCAUGGUUGUCGUCAGCUCGUGUCGUGAGAUGUUGGGUUAAGUCCCGCAACGAGCGCAAC